UACGAAGGGGGCUAGCGUUGUUCGGAAUUACUGGGCGUAAAGGGUGCGUAGGUGGUUUAGUACGUCAGGAGUGAAAUCCCCAGGCUCAACCUGGGAAUUGCUUUUGAGACUACUAGACUUGAGUACAGGAGAGGUGAGUGGAAUUCCCGGUGUAGAGGUAAAAUUCGUAGAUAUCGGGAGGAACACCAGUGGCGAAGGCGGCUCACUGGCCUGUAACUGACACUGAGGCACGAAAGCGUGGGGAGCAAACAGG
rnacentral:rRNA from 1 species